rnacentral:rRNA from 1 species
GAACGAGAUCUUCGGAUCUAGUGGCGCACGGGUGCGUAACGCGUGGGAAUCUGCCCUUGGGUUCGGAAUAACUUCUGGAAACGGAAGCUAAUACCGGAUGAUGACGUAAGUCCAAAGAUUUAUCGCCCAAGGAUGAGCCCGCGUAGGAUUAGCUAGUUGGUGGGGUAAAGGCCCACCAAGGCGACGAUCCUUAGCUGGUCUGAGAGGAUGAUCAGCCACACUGGGACUGAGACACGGCCCAGACUCCUACGGGAGGCAGCAGUAGGGAAUAUUGGACAAUGGGCGAAAGCCUGAUCCAGCAAUGCCGCGUGAGUGAUGAAGGCCUUAGGGUUGUAAAGCUCUUUUACCCGGGAUGAUAAUGACAGUACCGGGAGAAUAAGCUCCGGCUAACUCCGUGCCAGCAGCCGCGGUAAUACGGAGGGAGCUAGCGUUGUUCGGAAUUACUGGGCGUAAAGCGCACGUAGGCGGCUAUUCAAGUCAGAGGUGAAAGCCCGGGGCUCAACCCCGGAACUGCCUUUGAAACUAGAUAGCUUGAAUCCAGGAGAGGUGAGUGGAAUUCCGAGUGUAGAGGUGAAAUUCGUAGAUAUUCGGAAGAACACCAGUGGCGAAGGCGGCUCACU